rnacentral:rRNA from 1 species
CCUACGGGGGGCUGCAGUGGGGAAUAUUGGACAAUGGGGGCAACCCUGAUCCAGCCAUGCCGCGUGUGUGAAGAAGGCCCUCGGGUUGUAAAGCACUUUCAGUGAGGAAGAACGCCUGGUGGUUAAUACCCAUCAGGAAAGACAUCACUCACAGAAGAAGCACCGGCUAACUCCGUGCCAGCAGCCGCGGUAAUACGGAGGGUGCGAGCGUUAAUCGGAAUUACUGGGCGUAAAGCGCGCGUAGGUGGCUUGAUAAGCCGGUUGUGAAAGCCCCGGGCUCAACCUGGGAACGGCAUCCGGAACUGUCAAGCUAGAGUGCAGGAGAGGAAGGUAGAAUUCCCGGUGUAGCGGUGAAAUGCGUAGAGAUCAGGAGGAAUACCAGUGGCGAAGGCGGCCUUCUGGACUGACACUGACACUGAGGUGCGAAAGCGUGGGUAGCAAACAGGAUUAGAUACCCCAGUAGUC